AGGACGAACGCUGGCGGCGUGCUUAACACAUGCAAGUCGAGCGGAAAGGCCCUUCGGGGUACUCGAGCGGCGAACGGGUGAGUAACACGUGAGCAAUCUGCCCCUAGCUCUGGGAUAGCUCCGGGAAACCGGGAUUAAUACCAGAUACAACCACUUUAGACAUCUUUUGUGGUGGAAAGGAUUCCGGCUAGGGAUGAGCUCGCGGCCUAUCAGCUUGUUGGUUGGGGUAACGGCCCACCAAGGCGACGACGGGUA
rnacentral:rRNA from 1 species